rnacentral:rRNA from 1 species
UGGGGAAUAUUGCACAAUGGGCGAAAGCCUGAUGCAGCGACGCCGCGUGAGGGAUGACGGCCUUCGGGUUGUAAACCUCUUUCACCAUUGACGAAGCCUUCGGGUGACGGUAGGUGGGGAAGAAGCACCGGCUAACUACGUGCCAGCAGCCGCGGUAAUACGUAGGGUGCGAGCGUUGUCCGGAAUUAUUGGGCGUAAAGAGCUCGUAGGCGGUUUGUUGCGUCUAUCGUGAAAACCUGCGGCUUAACUGUGGGCUUGCGGUGGAUACGGGCAGACUUGAGUUCGGUAGGGGAGACUGGAAUUCCUGGUGUAGCGGUGAAAUGCGCAGAUAUCAGGAGGAACACCGGUGGCGAAGGCGGGUCUCUGGGCCGAAACUGACGCUGAGGAGCGAAAGCGUGGGGAGCGAACAG